rnacentral:rRNA from 1 species
GUGGGGAAUCUUCCGCAAUGGACGAAAGUCUGACGGAGCAACGCCGCGUGAGUGAUGAAGGUCUUCGGAUUGUAAAGCUCUGUUAAUCGGGACGAAAGAGCCUAGUGUGAAUAAUGCUAGGAAGUGACGGUACCGGAAUAGAAAGCCACGGCUAACUACGUGCCAGCAGCCGCGGUAAUACGUAGGUGGCAAGCGUUGUCCGGAAUUAUUGGGCGUAAAGCGCGCGCAGGCGGAUCUGCCAGUCUGUCUUAAAAGUUCGGGGCUUAACCCCGUGAUGGGAUGGAAACUACAGAUCUAGAGUAUCGGAGAGGAAAGUGGAAUUCCUAGUGUAGCGGUGAAAUGCGUAGAUAUUAGGAAGAACACCAGUGGCGAAGGCGACUUUCUGGACGAAAACUGACGCUGAGGCGCGAAAGCCAGGGUAGCGAACGGGAUUAGAUACCCCUGUAGUCC